rnacentral:snRNA from 12 species
AUACUUACCUGGCGGCGGAGACCCACGAUCCCGCAGGUGGUUCUUCCGGGGCGAGGCUCGGCCAUUGCACGCGGCCGUGCUGACCCGCGCGCGCUUGUCCCGGCCGGCGGGUGUAAGAGCAGUUGACAAUAUUUUUGUUUUGGAAUUUCUUGGUUUUUCGUU